rnacentral:lncRNA from 1 species
CGGGACCGAGGCACUUUCCAGCGGGCGGGAUCGAGGCGGGCCGUUCUCCCUCAGAGCGGGGGAGGCGCUUGGCGGCCCGUAGGGGUUCCGUGUUUCCGUUUGCUUUCGUUCGUGUUACCUGAGGCGGACGAGGUGUGCAAGUGACACCUCGGUUUCCCGUUUGAACAGCCUGAGCCUGCCGCAGAGCACGUGAGCCCUCACUUGUGUAGGAACGUCGCUCCCCUCGCGUCCCCCUGGCAGCGCCAGAGGCCGUUCACGUCGCGCAGUGGACGAAUCAGCCACAAGCACAGUGCACAGAGCUUUAAAGGAGUAACUUACUUGCAGCUAGUCGAUAAGAGACGUUUUUCCUGUAAAAACAAUUCGUUCUCCCCAUUUAAGAAGAGGUGAAAGACGCAUGAAAUCAUGUUCCAGGAUCUCAGAAAUGUGCCAGAGUCUACCAGAAGAAAAGCAAUUGAGAACCUUGCACUGGCAAGACUAUCUUUGUAGAAUGAACUGACCGUGGAGCCCUUUUCUCAGCACAACUGAACUUGUCCAGGUACCACACGGUAACAGUAACAGGUAUUAGAGGCAACCUUCAGAGACUGUUCUUUCAUGUGGAGUCUUCUGUUGACUUGGGAUGUACUGAGUUGUCUGCCAAGCAUUGCUCUUCUCAAGGUUAAGUAACAGUUGCAAUGCAAACGUAAAACACAUACAACACCUUAGUGUUACUGUAGGGCAGUGGCUGGAGAAACAAAAUCCACCAGCUAAACUAAGAGACAUAGUCAAUAGGAAAUAUUCUUCCCGUUUCAAACAGAAAUGGAAGAACAUUUGCCAGAAUUUUUACAGAUUUUCCCCUUCAGAUUCUCAAGAGAGGUUACAAAAUCUUAACUACGUUAUUCUGUCACACAGUAAUAAGCUGAAUUUGCCAUCUCAUCAAAUUUAGUAUUACAAUUUUGGUUAGCAAAGCAAAGCAUUGCUGCAUUUUCCCAAAGCGAUGCUGACCAGUAUUACUGAGGUUGGCUUGUUAUUUACUCAUUGCAGGGACAGAGAGCUUUAUCUCUUUUUUAAUUUUCCCAGUUUCCCAAGGCAAAUUUUAAGAUCUGUUCAUCAUAACUCAAAGAGCUCCUUCCCAUCUUUAACACUCAUGGACCAACCUCUCUAUUUGUGCCAAUUUUUAACACUUCUGCAGUAAUAUUUACAAUUAAUUUUACUUUUAAAGUUAUUAUUAAAACUUUCCAGCCUUUAUUCAGCCGUGUUAGAUGUCAGCACAAGCUGCUCUUAAGUUCCCCAGGGAUCGCUUUUCCAGUCUCAUAGAGAAGUCUUAAGUCUUAGGUCUGACUCACUAUAGAAACAGAACACCAGGAGGACAAGCAAUGCAGAGCCCUCUUCCUCAGGCCCCAGAGAAUCUAAGCAUGUUCUGAAAAACUGAGUACCGGUGGAUUCUACCUAUACAAAGGUGUAAACAAAAAGUUUUUUUCUUCCAUAAAAAGGGGAUACAGUGAUCUCAAUUAAAAAAAUAAUAACUACCGCAUAUAACAAACCUGACCACCUCAGACGCCCAUAUUUAUCCACCAUCACACUCCCAGCCCUGUGAGCACCAUUCUCACAGCUCUGAUCAUUACUCUGCCCUAUUUGUAAGUGGGCAGCUCAAGUCUGGCACUCGCUCUGCAUGCCAAAGGGACUGACGACACGUGCUAUCUGACAGCUGCCUGAGCUGAGAAGGAUGGGAAGGAGAAGCACCUGGCACCGGAACUAAUUACAUCAGUUCUCUGUGCCCUGAGCUAACAAAGCCUUUGAAUACAUUUUGUGGUUAUCUUAUUUUAAAAUCAGCGAGAUAUGUUUCUCUCUACGCAGCAGUAUACAUACAUGACAAGACAUCCACGUACCUUUAUUUGCUGCUUUCGCUGAAAUUAGUAAUAUUUAAAUCAAAACCAACCAAAAGCCAUGUGGCAGCCAACAGAAAAGUAAGAAUACACGAUGGAGUCCUGAGAGAUAAAAAUUUAUUUAGAUCUGAUCAGCAUGUCAUGAUAUGGUCACAACUCAUACAGCUGACACUCCCGUAGCCAAAAGGACUUUUUCCUUUUUAAAAAUACAUUUUUUCUUCCCAGCAGGAAAGAUUUUUUUUUUUUUUUAAACAAACAUUUAAUAUGAGGCAGGAAUGAAUUUACAACAAUGGCUUCUCAGACCGAUGACACAGCCGGUAAGCAGUGGGUCUCCCACCUGUGUCUUCAUUUAGAUUUCAGGUUUUUCCUCCCCAGCUCCCCCACCCCUCACAGGAAAACACCACAAAAAGAAGAGCACAAAGCCCAGAAGGGAAACGAAGAGGUAGACGGAGCUUCAGCCAUCGCCGUUGGCAAGACGUCCUCCUGUGCUCUGAGGAGUUCCUUGUUGGGUCGCAUUGCAGCACUGCACGCCAACAGGUAAUGCUGCAUGUGGCAACCGAGCGCUGUGCCAGAGCUGCAGAAUGGAUGGGGCUGUCCUGCUGCACAUUUCUUUGCCCAGCUGAAGCUGUUUAAAACCAGCCUGUGCUGUUCAGAUAAUAGGUGCAUCUGCCAAAUGACUAUGGCCUUGCUCACAAGGUCAGACUCCCAUUUCUCUUAGGUAGCAGCAACCUGGGGUCAGUGGGGACCUGGGUUCUGUUCCCAGCAUCCCCUGAACUCGUAGAAACUUUGAGGGGAAUCAUUGCUACACAGCACCCUGUGCAGAAACUGCAGGCGGAGCACCCACAGUUUCCAGCAGGUACUCGAGCAGAGGAGGGCUGCAGGAAUUGCUUCCCCCAACCUGCUGCUCCACUCCUCCCCUUACACCACUGCUGCCACAGAGAGGUUCCUCUAUUUGUCCUCCCCAGAGCUCCAUAACCAACACUGUCACUUAACACUCAGCUGCAUGGUGAACUGUUUUUUCCCCAGUAUUUGUAGACUUCAUGGCAAGCACAAUAGAGACUGUGCAUCUAUUAGAUACAAGCACAAUAAAUACAGCCCUCAAACAAAAUCAUCUCUGCUAUUAAGGAUUAGAAGCACGUGAAAUAACCUUGAAAAAAAAAAUCAACUUUAUUUUGCCACACAAAAAAAAAGGGAAAAAGACACCUCAUAGUCUCUGAAGAGAAAUGCUUCUGGUAUCUGCCUGCAGUUCUGAAAGACAUCCCGGCUGCUGGAAAUACCCGAUAAAAAACCCAAUGAAAUAAUUCCAGUACAAUGAAUCCAACCACAACAGCCCUCUGCACAACUGCAGAGUAACUGCGCCCAUUUGCCAUACAGAGCACAGCGUGGCUAACACGGGGGAAGGAGAAAACUGGACGCUAACAUAAAUGCUAUCGAGAAAACUAACUUUUACCAUACAAAACAAACACCGUUGUAGAGAAACUUUAAAAGGACUCACUCACUGUAAGAGGACAGUUGUUCAGUGUAUCAUUAAACUUCAGUAUCUGAUGCUUAAAUCAAAGGUUUAACUUGAAAAUACACAGAAUCCUUUUAAAUCCUUUCUGCAUCCCAGGCAGAGUCCACAGCUUUUGCACAGAGAAAGUGAAAUUGCUCAGAAGUGUUCAUAAUGCACACAGACUUUUAAAGUCAGAGAACAGUUUCAGUUUUGCUCUUCCAACUGUUCUUUAAAAAAAAAAAAAAAGAAGUGUAAAAGUUAUCAAGUAUGCAAUUUUGCAAAAUAACCAUUUAUUUCGUAUGGCUGCGUUAUUUCCAAACGAUACAGUACCCGGAUGUAUCCUUACGCUGUGUGAUUGUAUCAGAGCAGCACACAGCCUCCAGCCUGCUGUCCCAGAACACACCCGCCCCCAGCUCCAAGUACCUUUGGUUCCAACACUGCAUGUCAAGGCAAAGCGGAGCAGCUGAAUCUGUCACGCACAGUGAUCGGUGUAUCUGCAUUCACUUAUACAAACAAAGUUGACAGAGUUAACAGCACUUUAUGGCAAAACACCCAAAACAAUUACAUCAUUUACAAAGGGAUGAGUAACGAGCAGUACCACGGCAGUCACUUCAAUGCAGCAAGAUGCAUCCUGUUUUGAGACUCAGGGUGGAACAGGGAGAAGGAAGCUCAUAAUUUUCAGGGGAGUGAGGUUAAUUGCCAUCUUUCUUUUCCAAAUCUGAUGAGAGCAACUGAAAAAAAAAAUUCCUCCUGGAAGAGUCAUCACUGCUGAAACGUGUGGUAACAGAACCAUACGUACAAUGUAAGAGAAUCUGUAAGGAAGGUACAUGCAAAGGGCACUAACAUAGAAGCGCUGCUCAUUUUGGAGGGGCAGAUAUUCUUCUUAGGAUGAAAUUCAGUACGAGCAGUGACGCUAAACCAUCGGGACUUGCAUCGUUUCCAGUGAAACUUGUUUAUGAACAAUUAAACAGAGAAACUUACAAAUGUUGAGUGCAACCCCGACAGAGAAACGUCUUUGUUCACAACAAACUUGAACCGCUAUGUUCUCACUUGUGUGUGCAACAGCUUUCAAUUUAUUUUUUUCAUCCUGCUGUCACUUUAUACAUCCUUCCACAUUAUUUCUCCUAACACAUAUUUAAAAUCACAGCAAUUAACCGUUUUGUGAUCAACUGCACGGUUCAUAAACAUUCGUGUCAAAUGCAGGUUGAACUGUUCAGAAGAGGAAACCGUUGGCUGCAGCAGCACACUUGCCCCAGCUGUAGCUCCAGCCAAUGCCAGAAGGUAGAAGCCAACUGGAACCCACGGGGAUCCAAUGUUUUACAGGCUUGCCUGCCAAGCUCUAGCCUUCACCACCAGUGUUUUUAGCACAGAAUUUCCCACACUGUGUUUUUCCCUUAACAAAAACUUAUUCAGUCAUAAAGUAGCAUCCAAGUUCAUGCUGGGAGGGUACUUUGGAUUUUCUUCGGUUUCAUUCGACUGUCACCUACAGCAGCUCAGCUGGAGCAAGAGACAACACCACGCUCUGUUCACAUGUUCCAGAGCAGGCAGGAAAGAAGCCUAAGGCCUAUUUACUCAACCUAUCAAAACAAUAAUCAGUGCCUUCAAAUAGAUGUCUCGCAAUAGUGAGAACUAUAAAGGAACUAACUGGAAAUGCACAGGACCAGAUAAACCAAAGGAUUACCUGAAACGUUAUCGUGCAUUACUAACUUCUUCAAGCAGUGUGUGAACACUCACUAUGGGCUGCAAUCCAUUGGAAAAAGUACUGCAUUGCCAAAAAAAAAAAAAAAAAAAAAAGUACGCUCUUACAUGGAGUUUACUGGAUCUGUUACAAACAGCCUCCUGAUGCAAAUUACUGCUGUGCAAUCUGCUUAUAGAAACUUCCCUUUUUGUAUCACUCCAGUCUGUCCUAUCUCACGUUAAAAGAGCUGUAAGAUAAGGGCAUCUCUGUGACUCUGAUCCACCCACUCUGUGGAGGACAGCAAUAAUUAGCUCACCACCUGCAUUUUGCAGUUAUGAGCGUCCAUUUGUGCCCAGGUGCUGCAGCCUAACCACUCACACCUGAUGGGGGUGGGCUGCCCCAGAACCUGCCUGGAAAAAGGCAGAUUAAAUACAUUCAUUCCAUCAGCUGUGAUUUAGCAAGCGUAACAGAAAAGAAGUUACACUCCCUUUUCAGAGCAUACCUCUUCUCAGGUGGAUUUAUGUUACACCAGCAUUCAGGUAUGGGGCUGAAUUCAGGUGGGAUUUAGAGACAGCAUCUUAAAUAAAAUAUUAAGGCUCUAUCUAGAUAAAUGCUGUCCUUUGCCUUCCCACUGCAGUGGUACAUGUAAGUCCGUGAGGGACUCACAGAUCAGGGGAACUUUCAUGGUCUGUGGUUUCACAGCCAUCCCCACAGAGCUACUUCAAGAUAAAACUCAUUUUAGAGGGAGAGAGAAGUGGCAAAUUUGACAAAGGGCUUUUCAAUUACGUUGAGGAAAUCAGCCUUGCCUCAUAUUUUAGUAUGCUCGUCCUGCUCCUCCAAAGGAACUGACUAUGUUUUCUGCAUGCCACCCACAGAUUCAAUAGCAGGAGAAGGUGGAUCAGUAUCACUAACUCAGAGCCAAAACCCACUGAGGGCUUACUUGGUUCUCAGUAAAAUCAAUGUACAAAAGGCAGCAGGCCACAUCUCAAGUUCUGGCUCUCCUGCUUGUAUUUAGAGAGAUUAAUUUUAUUUUAGGAACAGCUCUCUCAAAUCUGUGUAUAAUCACACAAAGGCAAUGCCAACUAGACCAGCCAGGGUCAGGACACACACCGCAGACUCCCUUUCAAAAGUAUCUCGUAUUAUACAUCUGAAAAUGGAGCUGAACUUUGGUUCUGCUUUGCCUUUAAAAUGAACUCAUUCUUCCAUUAUGAUUUUUAGCAUGCUGGUGAGCUAAUUAAUACUGCCCUCCAUAUAAUCACUCAGAUGAUUUACCAUUGCUUUUUCUUCUCUUUUGCAGUGAUAUCCUCAUAUAGAUUCAUGGUAGCACUUACACCUACUUUUUUUUUUUAGUAUUUUUUUUUUAAGAAACUAGUUUUCCUCUGUUAUUUCUUAGCAAAACAUUAAGAUGGUUGGCAUUGAAUCAUUUAAACUCUCCCACAAGUACAUUUAGUGCUGUUGCAACUAGCAGGGGAGAAAAAGGCCUCUAUAAACCACUCAAAGGUCACCUCGGUUGGACUGCAGUAUACAAAGUACAAAGGUGGCUAAAAAUCACCAGCAGCACCAGCAGGCCUUCAGAAACAGCUGGCAUUGCUCUGGCAAUUGGUCAACGCAUGGCAGAUAAAGCUUUCCCCUACUCCCUAUGUCUUUCUUUCACUGUAUUUUUGCCUUUAAAAGUGCAUGUAGAAAAGUGACAAUGAUCAACUAGAUGUAUUCUGAACAAAGGGAGAAAAACAGAUCAAGUGACUAGUAUUUUCCAAGUUUCCUCAUAGUAUGAGCUACAGGUAGCACACAGAAUUCGGUUAGCUGAUGGUAAGACCACAGCAGGGAUGGGCUGGUUCAUCAAAUAUGGAUAACUUCUAAUCACACUGUGAUGAGGCAAUGCUUUUUUAAGGACCGAUUCCUCACAAAACACACCCGAACAGGACCCUGAUGGGGUCUGGGUUUGAGAUCAAUGUGUUUGAGACGACAACUGCUGACUGGGCAGUGGCAAAGAUGGCGCCAUCAGCUCCGCUGAGAUCUCUGGCUCCAGCACGAUGAGCUGCAAUAAAGCACACGUUUGUGCAAACGAGGAAUCUCUACCACACCAAUGCUGCACAGACUACCGAAGAGACAAGUUGCUGAGUUUUCUGAGCUCUAACUACGACGCCGAGAAAUACUUAUGGUGACAGUUUUCUUGAUGCAGACAUUCUUCUACGGUGGUUGUACGAUUGCACCUUUUGUCCAAAUGCUGAAUUUGCUUAAGUGUGGGUGACAGAAUACACUUUUUAAAAAUACAGACAAUUCUUAAAAUAAUACAUCGUCAGGUCACUACGUUACUGAUCUCCUCUUUCAGUGGAGUUUAAAAUUUCCCCAAAGAGAGGUAAGAGUCCGUCCAGUAUUCUCCUGUACUCUUGUAUACUCACAUUUGCACGUACAACAUGGUACUCAUUUGCAAGAGCCUCGAUUCUCACUGUGUCCUCAGGUCCCAUUCCACUUUUAAAAUAGGCAAUGAUAAAAAUACUGUAAGAUGCAGUACCACAUACCGCCUGACAAAAAUGCAAGUGAUUGUAUGCCGACCAGCCACAGAUUGCUGAGAGUCAUCUCCCGAGAAACAGCUUUCGUUUGGCCCUGCAGUGGAGGAAAAGCUCCUGAAAAUGAAAAACAAGCAAAAACGCAUUUAAUGCACCUGCAGCAGGAAUACAGGCUGAGUGCAUUACUCCUGACUAUUGCUGCCCGCCCCAGCAGCAGUGCACACAAUUAAUUGGUUAAUUUUGUAUAGUGCUGGCAAAGUGAUCAAACUGACCAGGUUCUCUGUAAAGCUUUACAACUGUUUGGUAAUAAUUUUGUAUACUGUGCAGCACACAUAUACUCUCAAGUUCUCUCUUGACUAUGAACAUCUAUACACACACACAACUGUAUAGUUUUUCUGGCACUUAUUUGCAUGUGUUGUUUGAACAUUCAUUAGCCAGUCAGGCAUAAAGUAUAACCAAGGACUCUGAUUUGCUACUCUGUUUUCUAGAAGGAAUUUUUGAAAUACCUAUUUGAAUUGAGAAGCAUUGGCAGGAGAUACAUUUGGUGAUUAAAAAAUAAGUCAAUUCUCCCCCAUUCUGACUUUUUCUGACUUAAAGCAGUAAAUUUUGACUGAAUACUUUGGAGCUUUAUGAUCAUGAACGAGUUGUUUGCAUGUAUUUAUUUCAUAAUAUUACAUAACCUGUGAUAUAUGUUAGCAAGAUGUACAAAGCCUGGGCGAUAUGAUCCGCUUUUUUGUUGUUAAUUCUGAAGAGUAGAUACAAAAACUAAUUACACCAGAUGAAGAUGUUCUUGCUACAACAUUAUAGAGUCACAGCUACUCAUAGAAGAACAAAGGUGUAAGAUUCAAAGAGCAGAUAUUAGCAGCAUCAAUUUUGAAUCUUAGAUAGAAUCCACCCAAUUUGGGCAAUUAGAUACUCUCAGCAACUCAUCUCCGUGCUUCGCAUCUGCAGUUACUGGAGGGACUGCAAUUGAGUGCUUAAGACAAACCUUUCUGUAUGAAUGGUCUUACAUUAAAAAUCUUGAUGAGUCCCUUGUCUUCUCACUGAGGCAUAUUUUCACACGUGAGCAGAUCUGUCACUCCAUUUACUUACCUCCUAGUAAUUUUCACUGCUCACCUCCUAUCUGUCCACUCUGUGCUACAUUUGUUCUUCCGUGGCCCAUUUGUCUUUCUGUACCAACGCUGACGGCUAGUUUAACUAACUCUCCUUAUCCUGUGGAACUGAUAGCAACUGCCUCUUCCCCUACCUCCUCUCCCAAGCCAACUCAUUUUGUUACAAAGAAAGUCAUCCUUGAUGCUGCUAGACAAGCCAAGCCAAGCACUUUUACUUGUCCUUCAGAGGAACAACUCCUCCUUACCCUUCAUCACCUUCACACCUAUUACCUGCCCCUGUUCCCAGUUCAAUUCCUAUUUCUCAAGCCAGAAUGACAGAUCUGGAUGUGGUUGGUGACCCUGCACAUAGCAGGAGGGUUGAAACUCAAUGAUCACUGUGGUCCUUUUCAACUGAAGCCAUUCUAUGUUUCUAUAUGUAUGCAGAAUUUCCAGAUUAAGUUUCAGAUUUGGUACAGUGGAAAAAGCAUUUUUGCAGCCCUACUGAAAAUACUCUCCUGUUUCCCUGUAGGAUGACACUGCUUACUUUUUUUAGUUGCAUCACACAAGUUGGCUUAAGAUCAGAGUGUGAAUGAGGAGCAUGAUGUCUUCAACUAUUCAUUUCCAAUUGAUAAGCUCCAAGUUUACAUUGUUGGGUUUUUAUUUGUUUUAAUUAGUCUCCAAGUGCUAAAUGUAAUCCCAUUUGUGUUACUGCAGUGUUCAGUUAUCCCGCUCAAGACUUCAGAGCAAUCACGUGCUUGCCAAUACAAGCUUUCCAUUAGCUGCUAAGAAUCUGUAAACAGCUUUAACUUCAUAAAUGAAAGGUGGAAAAUGUACCACAUGAACAAACGUGACAGUUUCAUAUUCAAACUUUUCAGGGCUUUUUUUUUUAAGUCAUCAAAUGUUACAGAUUUUCCCUAGGUCUAUUGAAGUCCUUAAUACUUGGGAAUACUAAAAAAAAAAAAAAAAAAAAAAAAAACAACCAAACAACAAAAAACAACUGUUUUAGGCUUAGAUUUUUCUUCUUUCCAAUAAAAAAUACUUCAAAAGAGAGGAUGUACAGUACAGACAGUACUGCUGACAAUAGCAGUGACAAGCUUUUGACAUUUCAAGUAGAAUUGAACAUUACUCCAGCUUAAAACUAACAGUGCUCUGACUUCAGUGUGUCAGUAAAAGGCUGACCCCUGGGGAACUGUUGGGAUCCCCUUCAUGGGACCUCCCUGGGGUUUUCUGCAAACUGCAACAGCUCCUUUUCAGUAAACCACGGCAACAAAAGAGAAUGCAACCAAGUUCUCAACUGACAUAAGUGGUAGUAACUUUUAAGUUAUGGUAAUUUAUGCCUAAUAAGGUUCUACAUCAUAUCAUUUACAUUUAUGAUGUCUUAAUUAAUUCCUGCUUAUUACACUGCUGAAUUAUAGCCAAUUAUCCUAUUUUUGAAGGAGUAAGUCUGAUUAUACUCAUUACGCUUUUUGAAAUUCUGGUCUAGUCAGAUUUUUAGGUACAAUCAUUUUAUUUGAGUGGUAUUCGUGAAAUAAUGUCUCAACAACAUGAAUUCCUGACAUCCUACUGACUACACCUCUAAGCAAAUUCACAAAGUUAUUUGUCUAAUAUGAGCAUUUCGAUGCGAUGUAUACAGUAGGGUCUGACUUUGCCAUCCCUGAUGGCUGAGGGGCAGCAGUACUUCAUACAGCACAGUACAACUCUGGUUGUUAGGGAAUGCAAACUUUCUAAGUGCUAACAUUGGUAAAAUUAAGCAUUCAAAAUGGAAUCAGAACGGUUUUUGCGAUAAAUCAUCUAAUAAAAGUAGCAUCUUUGUUUCAGCAGUCACUCUGAAGUACUAAACUCAGUUGAUCCAAUCGACUUUCUUUUCCUCAGCAGUUGUGGUAAUCACUAAGAGAUUUGUUUUUUCUUCAAACAGAGGUUACAAUAUUUCAUUUGGAGUCUCCCUGCUCAGUCAAUAUUUGAUAAACUUCCUUUCCUAUAUGUCUACACAAAACCAUUUUUCCCUCUCUGUUUUUUCUUUUUCAUUUUUACACGUUAAUUCCUCUGGUGUGUACUCUGAAAACACACACACCCAUUAACUGGAUGGAAAAAAAGAGGCUUCAGGAAACAGUUCUCCAGCUCAAGUACUUACCUGAUGUUUUAAAUCACAUUAUUUGCCAUUAUCCCUUCAGUAAUGUUAUUAAUGCCUAAAUUUAUUUAGAUCUCUCAACAUCCAAAGUAUGUUACAAUAGAAGUGACUCAGCGCACCUCACAGCAAGGAGACGGGCAGGCACAGCACAGGGCUGGCACACAGACUCCAGAGACCUCGUGCUACAUAAUUCAUACAGACCCUUCCAAUAACAUCCUUCUGUUUUGCCUAACAGGAAACAGAAGACAACGAGGAAUUUGCAUUACACUUACAGACUACUUAGACCAGUUUUCUCUAACGGCAUGAGUGUCAGAGGAAGGUGCUAAACAGCAACACAAAGAUAAAAUAAAACUUGCCUCACAUAAGAGUCUUAUUUAAUCCCUUUUAGUCAAGAAUUUGCUGAUUAUUUAAACUCUGAAUAUUCCCCUCCAAACAUGAACUCUGAAUUCUUUUAUUGCACAUGUGAGUGUUCACUGCCUCUCUGAAUCUUGCUAAAACGUUCCCCUCAAUGAGAGCCUCUGGCAGCAAGUUUCACAGCUGAGCUGCUGGGGAAAGAAAGGGAUUUCCUUAGCUCUACUUUUCAUGUCUCA